rnacentral:rRNA from 1 species
GAUGAACGCUGGCGGCGUGCCUAAUACAUGCAAGUCGAGCGAACAGACGAGGAGCUUGCUCCUCUGACGUUAGCGGCGGACGGGUGAGUAACACGUGGAUAACCUACCUAUAAGACUGGGAUAACUUCGGGAAACCGGAGCUAAUACCGGAUAAUAUAUUGAACCGCAUGGUUCAAUAGUGAAAGACGGUUUUGCUGUCACUUAUAGAUGGAUCCGCGCCGCAUUAGCUAGUUGGUAAGGUAACGGCUUACCAAGGCAACGAUGCGUAGCCGACCUGAGAGGGUGAUCGGCCACACUGGAACGGGGACACGGUCCAGACUCCUACGGGAGGCAGCAGUAGGGAAUCUUCCGCAAUGGGCGAAAGCCUGACGGAGCAACGCCGCGUGAGUGAUGAAGGUCUUCGGAUCGUAAAACUCUGUUAUUAGGGAAGAACAAAUGUGUAAGUAACUAUGCACGUCUUGACGGUACCUAAUCAGAAAGCCACGGCUAACUCCGUG